rnacentral:tRNA from 1 species
GGGCCCGUAGCUCAGUUGGUUAGAGCGCACGGCUGAUAACCGUGAGGUCGCUGGUUCGAAUCCAGCCGGGCCCACCA